UCGAGCGAGCUUGCCUAGAUGAUUUUAGUGCUUGCACUAAAUGAAACUAGAUACAAGCGAGCGGCGGACGGGUGAGUAACACGUGGGUAACCUGCCCUAGAGACUGGGAUAACACCUGGAAACAGAUGCUAAUACCGGAUAACAACACUAGACGCAUGUCUAGAGUUUGAAAGAUGGUUCUGCUAUCACUCUUGGAUGGACCUGCGGUGCAUUAGCUAGUUGGUAAGGUAACGGCUUACCAAGGCAAUGAUGCAUAGCCGAGUUGAGAGACUGAUCGGCCACAUUGGGACUGAGACACGGCCCAAACUCCUACGGGAGGCAGCAGUAGGGAAUCUUCCACAAUGGACGAAAGUCUGAUGGAGCAACGCCGCGUGAGUGAAGAAGGGUUUCGGCUCGUAAAGCUCUGUUGGUAGUGAAGAAAGAUAGAGGUAGUAACUGGCCUUUAUUUGACGGUAAUUACUUAGAAAGUCACGGCUAACUACGUGCCAGCAGCCGCGGUAAUACGUAGGUGGCAAGCGUUGUCCGGAUUUAUUGGGCGUAAAGCGAGUGCAGGCGGUUCAAUAAGUCUGAUGUGAAAGCCUUCGGCUCAACCGGAGAAUUGCAUCAGAAACUGUUGAACUUGAGUGCAGAAGAGGAGAGUGGAACUCCAUGUGUAG
rnacentral:rRNA from 1 species